GAUGAACGCUGGCGGCGUGCCUAACACAUGCCAGUCGAACGGACGGACGAUAAGCUUGCGUCUCUGAUGUUAGCGGCGGGCGGGUGAGUAACGCGUGUAUCCCCUACUUAUAAUUCGGGGAUAAUUUCGGAAAACCGGCUAUAAUACCAUAUAAUAUUCUGAACCGCAUGGUGCAAAAGAGAAUUACGGCCUUGGUGUCUCUUAUAGCUGGUUCCGCGCUGCAUUAGCUAGUUGGUAAGGUAAAGGCCUACCACGGCAACGAGGCGUAGCCGAGCGGAGAGGGUGAUCGGCCACAUGGGAACGGAGACACGGUCCAGACUCCUACGGGAGGCAGCAGUAGGGAAUGUGAGGCAAUGGGCGAAAGCCUGACGGAGCAACGCCGCGUGAGUGAUGAAGGUCUUCGGAUCGUAAAGCCCUGUUAUUAGGGAAGAACAGCUGUGGAAGGAAAUGUGCACAUCGUGACGGUACCUAAUCAGAAAGCAACGGCUAACUACGUG
rnacentral:rRNA from 1 species